CACGUAGGGGGCGAGCGUUGUUCGGAAUUACUGGGCGUAAAGGGCAUGUAGGCGGCCUUGUAAGCCUGGCGUGAAAGUCACCGGCUUAACCGGUGGAUUGCGUCGGGAACUGCGAGGCUUGAGUCACGGAGAGGGAGCUAGAAUUCCUGGUGUAGGGGUGAAAUCUGUAGAGAUCAGGAAGAAUACCAAUGGCGAAGGCAAGCUUCUGGCCGAUGACUGACGCUGAGGUGCGAAAGUGUGGGGAUCAAACAGGAUUAGAUACCCUGGUAGUCCACACUGUAAACGAUGUGCACUAGGUGCCGGGGCGGAUGCCUCGGUGCCGGAGCUAACGCGGUAAGUGCACCGCCUGGGGAGUAUGCUCGCAAGGGUGAA
rnacentral:rRNA from 1 species